rnacentral:rRNA from 1 species
GACGAACGCUGGCGGCGUGCCUAAUACAUGCAAGUUGAGCGAUGAAGAUUGGUGCUUGCACCAAUUUGAAGAGCAGCGAACGGGUGAGUAACGCGUGGGGAAUCUGCCUUUGAGCGGGGGACAACAUUUGGAAACGAAUGCUAAUACCGCAUAACAACUUUAAACAUAAGUUUUAAGUUUGAAAGAUGCAAUUGCAUCACUCAAAGAUGAUCCCGCGUUGCAUUAGCUAGUUGGUGAGGUAAAGGCUCACCAAGGCGAUGAUACAUAGCCGACCUGAGAGGGGGAUCGGCCAAAUGGGAACUGAACCACGGCCCAAACCCCUACGGGAGGCAGCAGUAGGGAAUUUUCGGCAAUGGAAGAAAGUCUGACCGAGAAACGCCGCGGGAGGGAAGAAGGUUUUCGGAUCGGAAAACUCUGUUGGUAGGGAAGAACGUUGGUGGGAGUGGAAAGCCCAUCAAGUGACGGUAACUACCCAGAAAGGGACGGCGAACUACGU